rnacentral:lncRNA from 1 species
AGUCACCAAAGAAAACACUGUCCGGCAAGUCCAGGAUGUCUGUUGGAGGAGGAGGAGAUGCAGGACCAAUUCCAUUUAAGAUACCCCUGUUAAUAUCUUUUUAUUUCAUUGCAGCCCAGACCUGAUGGCCACACGCUCUAUUAAAAUGCUAGUUUGGCUUGUCACCGUGCUCUGCAUCUUAAAAGAAGGAGACUGGAGACUGGCUUGGGAACAUUUUAGUUGGCUAGGGAUUCUCAGGAUGGGUGAGCUCAAUUGUCAAAACAGGACUUCUAGUCUUACUUAUUUUUAUUCUUAUUUUAAUUGUUUUUGGUGUCAUCCGGCACGAUAUCUCAGUUGAUAGCCAAGGCAACAGACAUCCCAAGCAUCAACCAUGUUGCAGCUCCAUCAGCUUCCGAUCUAGAAGAUGAAGUUCCACCAGUCCCAGAUCCUGAAGAUGCAUCAUGGACUGAAACAGGGCCUAUCCGCCAGCCUUGGUUUGCAGGCACCUACCCUGAAUCUGAGUUUCUCCCCUGUAUGGAGGUUACCCCCGUUUGAAAGACUGAGUUUUCUUACUCGUUCAUUUGUAUUUGAAAAAGGGGGAGAUGUUGUACUGUGUUAUUGAGUUUGUUCAGUUUGUUCAGUGGUUUAGUCCUGUACCCCCUGGUAAGUGGUCCUGCCCUCCCUUGCCUACUCCCAUCCCUAUGUCAAUCCUCCUUUCCCUCCUCCACUGAAAUGUAGCCCUUCUGAGGACCCCACCCCUGGACCUGUCCAUCACUUGGCAGCCCUUCCUUUCUUUCUGGAAGGUUCUACCCAGAACAUCGAGUGAUAGGCUGGACAGCCAGGUCUCCUCCUACCCUCUUUCCCCAUUGGUGUUCCCUCAUGUAUGUCACCCUGAUAUCCACACCCCUGUUUGAUCUCAUUGGCCCACGUAGGGCCAUCCCCUGGUUACACUCACUGUUAUAAGCCUGUGCAAAAGGCUGCUCGAGGCUUUUGCAGGCAGUUUACCCUCCAAGACGGGAAGCUCUUCUGAGCUGCCCAAUAAAGUUGGAUUACAAACCCCUGCAAGAGACGACUCCUUGCCUUUGUCA